rnacentral:rRNA from 1 species
GAUGAACGCUGGCGGCGUGCCUAAUACAUGCAAGUCGAGCGAACGGACGAGAAGCUUGCUUCUCUGAUGUUAGCGGCGGACGGGUGAGUAACACGUGGAUAACCUACCUAUAAGACUGGGAUAACUUCGGGAAACCGUAGCUAAUACCGGAUAAUAUUUUGAACCGCAUGGUUCAAAAGUGAAAGACGGUCUUGCUGUCACUUAUAGAUGGAUCCGCGCUGCAUUAGCUAGUUGGUAAGGUAACGGCUUACCAAGGCAACGAUGCAUAGCCGACCUGAGAGGGUGAGCGGCCACACUGGAACUGAGACACGGUCCAGCCUCCUACGGGAGGCAGCAGUAGGGAAUCUUCCGCAAUGGGCGAAAGCCAGACGGAGCAACGCCGCGUGAGUGAUGAAGGUCUUCGGAUCGUAAAACUCUGUUAUUAGGGAAGAAAAUAUGUGUAAGUAACUGGGCACAUCUUGAAGGUACCUAAUCAGAAAGCCACGGCUAAAUACGUG